rnacentral:rRNA from 1 species
GAGUUUGAUCCUGGCUCAGGAUGAACGCUAGCGGCAGGCUUAACACAUGCAAGUCGAGGGGCAGCACGUCUUCGGAUGGUGGCGACCGGCGCACGGGUGAGUAACGCGUAUGCAAUCUACCUUUUACAGGGGCAUAGCCCGGGGAAACCCGGAUUAAUAUCCUAUAGUACCAUUAUAUAGCAUUAUAUUAUGGUUAAAGUUUCGGCGGUAAAAGAUGAGCAUGCGUCCUAUUAGCUUGAUGGUAAGGUAACGGCUUACCAUGGCUAUGAUAGGUAGGGGUCCUGAGAGGGAGACCCCCCACACUGGUACUGAGACACGGACCAGACUCCUACGGGAGGCAGCAGUGAGGAAUAUUGGACAAUGGGCGCAAGCCUGAUCCAGCCAUGCCGCGUGCAGGAAGACGGCCCUAUGGGUUGUAAACUGCUUUUAUACGGGAAGAAACACCCCUUCGUGAAGGGACUUGACGGUACCGUAUGAAUAAGGAUCGGCUAACUCCGUGCCAGCAGCCGCGGUAAUACGGAGGAUCCAAGCGUUAUCCGGAAUCAUUGGGUUUAAAGGGUCCGUAGGCGGGACAAUAAGUCAGUGGUGAAAGUCUGCAGCUUAACUGUAGAAUUGCCGUUGAAACUGUUGUUCUUGAGUAAUUAUGAAGUGGUUAGAAUAUGUAGUGUAGCGGUGAAAUGCAUAGAUAUUACAUAGAAUACCGAUUGCGAAGGCAGAUCACUAAUAAUUCACUGACGCUGAUGGACGAAAGCGUAGGUAGCGAACAGGAUUAGAUACCCUGGUAGUCUACGCCGUAAACGAUGGUUACUAGCUGUUUGGGAGCAAUCCUGAGUGGCUAAGCGAAAGUGAUAAGUAACCCACCUGGGGAGUACGUUCGCAAGAAUGAAACUCAAAGGAAUUGACGGGGGCCCGCACAAGCGGUGGGAGCAUGUGGUUUAAUUCGAUGAUACGCGGAGGAAUCUUUACCAGGGCUUAAAUGGGGGAGUGACAGGGGUGAAACACCUUUUUCUUCGGACACUCCUCAAGGUGCUGCAUGGAUGUCGUCAGCUCGGGCGUGAGGGUGUUCAGUAAGUCUAUACGAGCGCACCCCUGUUGUUAAUUGCAGCGUAUGUCCGAACUCUAACAGAACUGCGGGUCCAACUGUA